rnacentral:rRNA from 1 species
AAACGACUCUCGGCAACGGAUAUCUCGGCUCUCGCAUCGAUGAAGAACGUAGCGAAAUGCGAUACUUGGUGUGAAUUGCAGAAUCCCGUGAAUCAUCGAGUCUUUGAACGCAAGUUGCGCCCGAAGCCUUCUGGCCGAAGGCACGUCUGCCUGGGUGUCACGC